AGCGUACACGGUGGAUGCCCUGGCAGUCAGAGGCGAUGAAGGACGUGCUAAUCUGCGAUAAGCGUCGGUAAGGUGAUAUGAACCGUUAUAACCGGCGAUUUCCGAAUGGGGAAACCCAGUGUGUUUCGACACACUAUCAUUAACUGAAUCCAUAGGUUAAUGAGGCGAACCGGGGGAACUGAAACAUCUAAGUACCCCGAGGAAAAGAAAUCAACCGAGAUUCCCCCAGUAGCGGCGAGCGAACGGGGAGCAGCCCAGAGCCUGAAUCAGUGUGUGUGUUAGUGGAAGCGUCUGGAAAGGCGCGCGAUACAGGGUGACAGCCCCGUACACAAAAAUGCACAUAUUGUGAGCUCGAUGAGUAGGGCGGGACACGUGGUAUCCUGUCUGAAUAUGGGGGGACCAUCCUCCAAGGCUAAAUACUCCUGACUGACCGAUAGUGAACCAGUACCGUGAGGGAAAGGCGAAAAGAACCCCGGCGAGGGGAGUGAAAAAGAACCUGAAACCGUGUACGUACAAGCAGUGGGAGCCUCUUUUAUGGGGUGACUGCGUACCUUUUGUAUAAUGGGUCAGCGACUUAUAUUCUGUAGCAAGGUUAACCGAAUAGGGGAGCCGAAGGGAAACCGAGUCUUAACUGGGCGUUAAGUUGCAGGGUAUAGACCCGAAACCCGGUGAUCUAGCCAUGGGCAGGUUGAAGGUUGGGUAACACUAACUGGAGGACCGAACCGACUAAUGUUGAAAAAUUAGCGGAUGACUUGUGGCUGGGGGUGAAAGGCCAAUCAAACCGGGAGAUAGCUGGUUCUCCCCGAAAGCUAUUUAGGUAGCGCCUCGUGAAUUCAUCUCCGGGGGUAGAGCACUGUUUCGGCAAGGGGGUCAUCCCGACUUACCAACCCGAUGCAAACUGCGAAUACCGGAGAAUGUUAUCACGGGAGACACACGGCGGGUGCUAACGUCCGUCGUGAAGAGGGAAACAACCCAGACCGCCAGCUAAGGUCCCAAAGUCAUGGUUAAGUGGGAAACGAUGUGGGAAGGCCCAGACAGCCAGGAUGUUGGCUUAGAAGCAGCCAUCAUUUAAAGAAAGCGUAAUAGCUCACUGGUCGAGUCGGCCUGCGCGGAAGAUGUAACGGGGCUAAACCAUGCACCGAAGCUGCGGCAGCGACACUAUGUGUUGUUGGGUAGGGGAGCGUUCUGUAAGCCUGUGAAGGUGUACUGUGAGGUAUGCUGGAGGUAUCAGAAGUGCGAAUGCUGACAUAAGUAACGAUAAAGCGGGUGAAAAGCCCGCUCGCCGGAAGACCAAGGGUUCCUGUCCAACGUUAAUCGGGGCAGGGUGAGUCGACCCCUAAGGCGAGGCCGAAAGGCGUAGUCGAUGGGAAACAGGUUAAUAUUCCUGUACUUGGUGUUACUGCGAAGGGGGGACGGAGAAGGCUAUGUUGGCCGGGCGACGGUUGUCCCGGUUUAAGCGUGUAGGCUGGUUUUCCAGGCAAAUCCGGAAAAUCAAGGCUGAGGCGUGAUGACGAGGCACUACGGUGCUGAAGCAACAAAUGCCCUGCUUCCAGGAAAAGCCUCUAAGCAUCAGGUAACAUCAAAUCGUACCCCAAACCGACACAGGUGGUCAGGUAGAGAAUACCAAGGCGCUUGAGAGAACUCGGGUGAAGGAACUAGGCAAAAUGGUGCCGUAACUUCGGGAGAAGGCACGCUGAUAUGUAGGUGAAGUCCCUCGCGGAUGGAGCUGAAAUCAGUCGAAGAUACCAGCUGGCUGCAACUGUUUAUUAAAAACACAGCACUGUGCAAACACGAAAGUGGACGUAUACGGUGUGACGCCUGCCCGGUGCCGGAAGGUUAAUUGAUGGGGUCAGCGCAAGCGAAGCUCUUGAUCGAAGCCCCGGUAAACGGCGGCCGUAACUAUAACGGUCCUAAGGUAGCGAAAUUCCUUGUCGGGUAAGUUCCGACCUGCACGAAUGGCGUAAUGAUGGCCAGGCUGUCUCCACCCGAGACUCAGUGAAAUUGAACUCGCUGUGAAGAUGCAGUGUACCCGCGGCAAGACGGAAAGACCCCGUGAACCUUUACUAUAGCUUGACACUGAACAUUGAGCCUUGAUGUGUAGGAUAGGUGGGAGGCUUAGAAGUGUGGACGCCAGUCUGCAUGGAGCCGACCUUGAAAUACCACCCUUUAAUGUUUGAUGUUCUAACGUGGACCCGUGAUCCGGGUUGCGGACAGUGUCUGGUGGGUAGUUUGACUGGGGCGGUCUCCUCCUAAAGAGUAACGGAGGAGCACGAAGGUUGGCUAAUCCUGGUCGGACAUCAGGAGGUUAGUGCAAUGGCAUAAGCCAGCUUGACUGCGAGCGUGACGGCGCGAGCAGGUGCGAAAGCAGGUCAUAGUGAUCCGGUGGUUCUGAAUGGAAGGGCCAUCGCUCAACGGAUAAAAGGUACUCCGGGGAUAACAGGCUGAUACCGCCCAAGAGUUCAUAUCGACGGCGGUGUUUGGCACCUCGAUGUCGGCUCAUCACAUCCUGGGGCUGAAGUAGGUCCCAAGGGUAUGGCUGUUCGCCAUUUAAAGUGGUACGCGAGCUGGGUUUAGAACGUCGUGAGACAGUUCGGUCCCUAUCUGCCGUGGGCGCUGGAGAACUGAGGGGGGCUGCUCCUAGUACGAGAGGACCGGAGUGGACGCAUCACUGGUGUUCGGGUUGUCAUGCCAAUGGCACUGCCCGGUAGCUAAAUGCGGAAGAGAUAAGUGCUGAAAGCAUCUAAGCACGAAACUUGCCCCGAGAUGAGUUCU
rnacentral:rRNA from 1 species